GGCGGAAUAUAAAUGCUGUAAAUAAAUAAAUAAUAAAUAAAUUAGAUAAUCUGUGGAAGAGACCUAAGUGAGGCCUAAAACUGCCUGUCCCCUAACUGAACCCUGGCUGUGCUUGGCUGAAUUGGUUCCUAGGAGACGAAGUGGGCAGAGAUUAGCCCUCUAAACUGGCAGCAAUUGGAUAAAAACAAUUAUUACUCUCCCUCUAAUUAGGAAUUUAUUUUUCUUUUCUUUUUGUUGUAUCUCACUGGAACCGUGGAUGAUGGGUUGUGUUGUCAAAUUUCGAGGUUGGGUGGCCUGUAGUUUUGUUGUUUUGUGGGUUGCCCUGAUGCCAUCACUCAUUUAUAUAUAUAGAUUUACUUCUGCAUUUUUAGUACUGUUUCAUUGUAAUAAAUGAUAGUGUAAAUCUCACUUCACUGGGUGGCCACAGGAAAGUCUCAGUUUCUCAGCUCUGAGGAAGUCAUUGGCAAAUCUAAAUAAAUCCUGUUGAGAAACCUCCAUAUUUCAGUUGUUAUAAUCUGGAGUGGAUUUACUGACGCAUAACAAAGCGUGGUUAUUGCUACUGGCAGUACAAAAUGAUGUUGCUGACUUUAGCUAAAUAAAUGGAUAGAUCUAAUUUGCAUGUUGGGAGAUUGAAGAUCUUAUUGUAAUUAAUUUACUUUCCUGUUGCAGGAACACAGAAGAAAAUGGAGAUCAAAAAGCUUUAAUUAGCCGUUAUAGAUCUGACACUACUUUAGACAGGAUUUCUGGCGGUAGUGAUGCUGACAAAGCAAAUAAGCUUCCCACUUUCGAUGGCCGUUCAAAUAAGAGCAAGGAACCUGAUGUAAUUCUUAGCCCUGACAAUCCCACAUCACCUGUGAAAAAGAAAAGGUAUGUAAGCAUUUUUUUUAAAAAAAAUGUUUAGUAUCAGAGAUUACAGAAAGGAGCCUUGUAGCACCUUUAAAUUCAUUUAUUUAUUUUAGUUUGAGGUUUCAUGGAUUAAAAUCUAAGACAGUGGUUCUCAACCUGUGGAUCCCCAGAUGUUUUGGCCUCCAACUCCCAGAAAUCCU
rnacentral:lncRNA from 1 species